UUGCAAUCCUCAUCUGUGAUGGGAUUGGCAGUAGGGUCUUCUAUAUGUCUAUAGAAUAUGCCUAUGACGGGAUCAUUCUUUUGACUAGUAAUCAGGUCCUCACUAGGAGCUUCUUGACUCCAUUGCACGACAUUUAAGUCGGCAUUAUCUCUAGCCUGUCGUCUUGUUAUGGCUUCAACAUGAAUUGAACCCAUAAGAUCAUCAAUGUUUAGG